AUAACGGUCCUAAGGUAGCGAAAUUCCUUUUCGGGUAAGUUCCGACCUGCACGAAUGGCGUAACGACUUGGGCGCUGUCUCAACCAUGGACUCGGCGAAAUUGCAUUACGAGUAAAGAUGCUCGUUACGCGCAGCAGGACGGAAAGACCCCGGGACCUUUACUACAACUUGGUAUUGGUGGUCGGUACAACUUGUGUAGGAUAGGUGGGAGACUGUGAAAUCCGGACGCCAGUUCGGGUGGAGUCAUCGUUGAAAUACCACUCUGGUUGUUCUGGCUGUCUAACUUCGGUCCAUUAUCUGGAUCAGGGACAGUGCCUGGUGGGUAGUUUAACUGGGGCGGUUGCCUCCUAAAUGGUAACGGAGGCGCCCAAAGGUUUCCUCAGCCUGGUUGGCAAUCAGGUGUCGAGUGUAAGUGCACAAGGGAGCUUGACUGUGAGACAGACAUGUCGAGCAGGGACGAAAGUCGGAACUAGUGAUCCGGCGGUGGCAUGUGGGAGCACCGUCGCUCAACGGAUAAAAGGUACCUCGGGGAUAACAGGCUGAUCUUGCCCAAGAGUCCAUAUCGACGGGAUGGUUUGGCACCUCGAUGUCGGCUC
rnacentral:rRNA from 13 species